rnacentral:rRNA from 1 species
UAGGGAAUCUUCGGCAAUGGACGAAAGUCUGACCGAGCAACGCCGCGUGAGUGAAGAAGGUUUUCGGAUCGUAAAACUCUGUUGUUAGAGAAGAACAAGGACGUUAGUAACUGAACGUCCCCUGACGGUAUCUAACCAGAAAGCCACGGCUAACUACGUGCCAGCAGCCGCGGUAAUACGUAGGUGGCAAGCGUUGUCCGGAUUUAUUGGGCGUAAAGCGAGCGCAGGCGGUUUCUUAAGUCGGAUGUGAAAGCCCCCGGCUCAACCGGGGAGGGUCAUUGGAAACUGGGAGACUUGAGUGCAGAAGAGGAGAGUGGAAGUCCAUGUGUAGCGGUGAAAUGCGUAGAUAUAUGGAGGAACACCAGUGGCGAAGGCGGCUCUCUGGUCUGUAACUGACGCUGAGGCUCGAAAGCGUGGGGAGCAAACAGG